rnacentral:rRNA from 1 species
ACCGAUAGCGAACAAGUACCGUGAGGGAAAGUUGAAACAGAACCCUGUAGAGAGAGUUCAAGAGAACGUGAAACCGUUAAGAGGCUAAACGGGCGGAGAUUCGAAGAUCGAACUGGGGGGAUUCAGUUCGUCGGCCUGCCGGGAGACGGUAGUGGGCGUGUUGCGACUUCCCGUUCCGGAGGCCUCGUGCCGAAGGAGCCUUUGAGUGGGGAGCGCCGCCCGCCGCCUGCCCGGCGCCGGCGGGCGAUCUUCCCCCCGCAGUAGGUCGCCGCGACGCGUUGGGAUGGGCGUCUGAGGCCCGGGUCCUGGUAGGAACCGGCGGCGCGUUCGGCCAACCCCUCGCGGGGGUGGUCGUUUUCCAGCGCGCCCGUCCGGGGAUCCCCCGGUGCCCUCGUCUUGCUCCCCCGACGGUCUCUCCUCCGGGGCCGUCCGAGAACGGGGGUUGGGUCCGAGGCCGCGGUCGAGCCUAGCCUUUUCUCCUUUCGGGGGGUGGGGUCUGGCUUCCCGCGCUUCCCCUUUCCCCACUCGGUCCAUGUGCUGGCCCUCGCGGCGUGCAAAGAGUCGGUACUCCUCCCGACCCGUCUUGAAACACGGACCAAGGAGUCCAACAUGUAUGCGAGUCAAUGGGCGCACUAAACCCACGGGCGCAAUGAAAGUGAUCGGGCCGAUCCCACGGAGCAGCGGGCGGCCGCGCGCACCCGGACGGAGUGACCGACUUUCCUCCCCGGGACGGCGCGGGUUCCCUCCCGCUCCCGCACGCCCGCCCGCCUUCACCGGCGGGCGCGGGGGGCGCAGGUCCGGGACUCGCCAUGACGAACGGUCGCCUCUCCGCUUCGCGGCGGCAGGGCCGCGGCCGGAUGUGUCGGCGGGUACCCAGAGCAUAGAUGUUGGGACCCGAAAGAUAGUGAACUAUGCUUGGCCAGGAUGAAGCCAGGGGAAACCCUGGUGGAGGUCCGAAGCGUUUCUGACGUGCAAAUCGAUCGCCAGAGCUGAGUAUAGGGGCGAAAGACCAAUCGAACUAUCUAGUAGCUGGUUCCCUCCGAAGUUUCCCUCAGGAUAGCUGGCACUCGCAUCGAACGAGUUCCAUCCGGUAAAGCGAAUGACUAGGGGUGUUGGGGACGAAAUGUCCUCAGCCCAUUCUCAAACUUUAAAUGGGUGAGGUGCCGGGCUUGCUUCGCUGAAGCCCCGGACGAGAAUCGGAGUGCCUAGUGGGCCAAUUUUGGUAAGCAGAACUGGCGCUGUGGGAUGAACCAAACGUCGAGUUAAGGGGCCUAAAUGGAUGCUAAUUCCGAUCCCAUGGAAGGGAGUUGCUUGCUAUAGACAGCAGGACGGUGGCCAUGGAAGUUGGAAUCCGCUAAGGAGUGUGUAACAACUCACCUGCCGAAGCAAGUAACCCCGAAAAUGGCAUGGCGCUCAAGCAUCCUCCCGAUACUCGACCGCCGGGCGCACUAUGGGCUGCGUCGAGGAGGUCUCGAGGCCCCGGCGAGUAGGAGGGCGCGGUGGUGAGCGUAGAAGGAUACGGCGCGAGCCGGUCUGGAGCCGCCACUGGUGCGGAUCUUGGUGGUAGUAGCAAAUGCUCGAGCAAGCCGAACCCUCGUUGACCGAAGCGGAGGAGGGUUCCCCGCCAACAUCGCUUGGUCGUGGAUAAGUCGGCCCUUAGCCCGAGGAUAGCUUCCCUCCGAUCCCCUGGAAAACGCCACAAAACAGUAGAGCACAGCCGAAAGACUCCCUGUUUUGGAAGGAGAGCGCGAGGAAUUGGGAGGGGACCCCAGGCGGCGGCACGAGCCCGCCCUUCAUCAAAGCGGGCUUGUCGGCGCCGGUCGGUCGUUCGCUCGCCGUCGUUUGAAGCGGCGGCAGCAGCAGCCUCCGGCGUCUUGGCUUGGCUUGGCUUG